GACGAACGCUGGCGGCGUGCUUAACACAUGCAAGUCGAACGGAGCGAAUGGAAGCUUGCUUUUAUGAGCUUAGUGGCAAACGGGUGAGUAACACGUAGACAACCUGCCGACAGGAUGGGGACAACAUUCCGAAAGGAAUGCUAAUACCGAAUGAAGCGGAGGAGAGGCAUCUCUCUUCCGUGAAAGAUGGCCUCUGAACAUGCUAUCACCUGUCGAUGGGUCUGCGUCUGAUUAGCUGGUUGGUGAGGUAACGGCUCACCAAGGCGACGAUCAGUAGCCGGUCUGAGAGGAUGAACGGCCACAUUGGGACUGAGACACGGCCCAGACUCCUACGGGAGGCAGCAGUGGGGAAUCUUCCGCAAUGGGCGCAAGCCUGACGGAGCAACGCCGCGUGAGUGAAGAAGGUCUUCGGAUCGUAAAGCUCUGUUGACGGGGACGAACGUGCGAUGGGUGAACAAUCCAUUGCAAUGACGGUACCUGUC
rnacentral:rRNA from 1 species